rnacentral:rRNA from 1 species
CCUACGGGAGGCAGCAGUAAGGAAUCUUCCACAAUGGACGAAAGUCUGAUGGAGCAACGCCGCGUGCAGGAUGAAGGCUUUCGGGUCGUAAACUGCUUUUAUAUGGGAAGAUUAUGACGGUACCAUAUGAAUAAGGACCGGCUAACUACGUGCCAGCAGCCGCGGUAAUACGUAGGGUCCAAGCGAUAUCCGGAAUUACUGGGCGUAAAGCGUGUGUAGGUGGAUUAAUAAGUGUGAUGCGAAAUCCGGCGGCUCAACCGUUUGGACUGUGUCGCAUACUGUUAGUCUAGAGGACGGCAGAGGUAAGUGGAAUUACGGGUGUAGCAGUGAAAUGCGUAGAUAUCCGUAGGAACACCAAUGGCGAAGGCAGCUUACUGGGCCACACCUGACACUGAGACACGAAAGCGUGGGGAGCGAACAGGAUUAGAUACCCUGGUAGUCCACGCCGUAAACGAUGCAUACUAUUAGUAUGGGGUAUCGACCCCCUGUGCUGAGAAGCUAACGCGAUAAGUAUGCCGCCGUCGGGAGGUACGAGCGCGACGACGUUAAACCUAACGAAAGGAAGUAGACGGCGUGAGACGUGCCGACGGACGACCGACGAGGGAGGUUAGG